ACGCUCGACACCUACGGGCAGCAGUCGGGAAUAUUGCGCAAUGGAGGAAACUCUGACGCAGUGACGCCGCGUAUAGGAAGAAGGUUUUCGGAUUGUAAACUAUUGUCGUUAGGGAAGAAAAAAGACAGUACCUAAGGAGGAAGCUCCGGCUAACUACGUGCCAGCAGCUGCGGUAAUCUGAGCGGGCUGGCAAGGC
rnacentral:rRNA from 1 species